rnacentral:rRNA from 1 species
UACGUAGGGUGCGAGCGUUAAUCGGAAUUACUGGGCGUAAAGCGUGCGCAGGCGGUUCGUUGUGUCUGAUGUGAAAGCCCCGGGCUCAACCUGGGAACUGCAUUGGAAACUGGCGGACUUGAGUGUGGCAGAGGGGGGUGGAAUUCCGCGUGUAGCAGUGAAAUGCGUAGAGAUGCGGAGGAACACCGAUGGCGAAGGCAGCCCCCUGGGCCAACACUGACGCUCAGGCACGAAAGCGUGGGGAGCAAACAGGAUUAGAAACCCCCGUAGUCC